rnacentral:rRNA from 1 species
CGGGGGAGCAAGCGUUGUUCGGAUUUACUGGGCGUAAAGGGCGCGUAGGCGGCCACCGCAAGUCGGUUGUGAAAUCUCCGGGCUUAACCCGGAAAGGUCAACCGAUACUGCGGGGCUAGAGUGCAGAAGGGGCAACUGGAAUUCUCGGUGUAGCGGUGAAAUGCGUAGAUAUCGAGAGGAACACCUGCGGCGAAGGCGGGUUGCUGGGCUGACACUGACGCUGAAGUGCGAAAGCUAGGGGAGCGAACGGGAUUAGAUACCCCGGUAGUCCUAGCCUUAAACGAUGAAUGCUUGGUGUCUGGGGUUUUAUAGUCCCCGGGUGCCGUCGCUAACGCUUUAAGCAUUCCGCCUGGGGAGUACGGUCGCAAGACUG